rnacentral:lncRNA from 1 species
CUGAGGCUUGGCUGUCUGGGAUCUAAACUGUGACCUGAUCAAGUACAGACAUUCUGAUUUUAUCUAUUUAUACUUUGGGACUUUGACUUCCAUUGGAUCACCAUGACGUACAAAAUUUGCUGCAGACAGGGAGGGCUUCAGGGGCAAGCAGUCCGUUCAGGCUAGGAACUGACUGCUGCACUCACCUGUGACCACCCAGCUCAAGACAAUAGACUUGCCUCCAGCUACGCCCUCUGAGAUAGCCCUCUGAGAUAGCCGACCACUACCUGCUGUGUCCAUCAAGCACUGUGCCGACAGGGCAAUCUUGUGACUAUUGUGGGAGGGACAUUUCAAUCACAUGUGAAACACCCUGUUUGGGGGUAUAUAACCACUAUGUGCACCCCACUUCUUCGGUGCCCUUUCUUCCUUCGGGAAGAAAGGCCCCGGGCCAUGGUUCUCA